rnacentral:rRNA from 1 species
UACGGGGGGAGCAAGCGUUGUUCGGAUUUACUGGGCGUAAAGGGCGCGUAGGCGGCCAGCACAAGUCAGGUGUGAAAUCUCCGAGCUUAACUCGGAAAGGUCAACUGAUACUGUGCGGCUAGAGUGCGGAAGGGGCAACUGGAAUUCUUGGUGUAGCGGUGAAAUGCGUAGAUAUCAAGAGGAACACCUGCGGCGAAGGCGGGUUGCUGGGCCGACACUGACGCUGAGGCGCGAAAGCCAGGGGAGCGAACGGG